rnacentral:rRNA from 1 species
AGUGAACGCUGGCGGUAGGCCUAACACAUGCAAGUCGAACGGCAGCACAGAGGAGCUUGCUCCUUGGGUGGCGAGUGGCGGACGGGUGAGGAAUACAUCGGAAUCUACUCUGUCGUGGGGGAUAACGUAGGGAAACUUACGCUAAUACCGCAUACGACCUACGGGUGAAAGCAGGGGACCUUCGGUCCUUGCGCGAUUGAAUGAGCCGAUGUCGGAUUAGCUGGUUGGAGGGGUAAAGGCCCACCAAGGCGACGAUCCGUAGCUGGUCUGAGAGGAUGAUCAGCCACACCGGAACUGAGACACGGUCCAGACUCCUACGGGAGGCAGCAGUGGGGAAUAUUGGACAAUGGGCGCAAGCCUGAUCCAGCCAUACCGCGUGGGUGAAGAAGGCCUUCGGGUUGUAAAGCCCUUUUGUUGGGAAAGAAAUCCAGCUGGCUAAUACCCGGUUGGGAUGACGGUACCCAAAGAAUAAGCACCGGCUAACUUCGUGCCAGCCGCCGCCGUAA